AUUGAACGCUGGCGGCAGGCCUAACACAUGCAAGUCGAACGCUCGUAGCAAUACGGGAGUGGCAGACGGGUGAGUAACGCGUGGGAACGUACCCUUUGGUUCGGAACAACUCCGGGAAACUGGAGCUAAUACCGGAUGAGCCCUACGGGGGAAAGAUUUAUCGCCGAAGGAUCGGCCCGCGUCGGAUUAGCUAGUUGGUGAGGUAACGGCUCACCAAGGCGACGAUCCGUAGCUGGUCUGAGAGGAUGAUCAGCCACACUGGGACUGAGACACGGCCCAGACUCCUACGGGAGGCAGCAGUGGGGAAUAUUGGACAAUGGGCGCAAGCCUGAUCCAGCCAUGCCGCGUGAGUGAUGAAGGCCUUAGGGUUGUAAAGCUCUUUCGCCAGGGACGAUAAUGACGGUACCUGGAUAAGAAGCCCCGGCUAACUUCGUGCCAGCAGCCGCCGUAA
rnacentral:rRNA from 1 species